rnacentral:rRNA from 1 species
CACCGCCCGUCACACCAUGGGAGUUGGCUCUACCCGAAGACGGUGUCGCUAACCUCGCAAGAGGAGGCCAGCCGGCCACGGUCGGUCAGCGACUGGGUCGG